rnacentral:rRNA from 1 species
UACGUAGGGUGCAAGCGUUGCCCGGAUUUAUUGGGCGUAAAGGGCGCGUAGGCGGCUCUGCACGUCCGUUGUGAAAUCGCCCGGCUCAACUGGGCGGGGUCAGCGGAUACGGCAGAGCUUGAGCAAGCUAGGGGGCAAUGGAAUUCUCGGUGUAGAGGUGAAAUUCGUAGAUAUCGAGAGGAACACCGGCGGCGAAGGCGGCCAUCUGGACGAGGACUGACGCUGAGAUGCGAAAGCGUGGGGAGCAAACAGG